rnacentral:tRNA from 1 species
CGGGGCGUAGCGCAGCUUGGUAGCGCACUUGCAUGGGGUGCAAGGGGUCGCAGGUUCAAAUCCUGUCGCCCCGACCA